rnacentral:snoRNA from 1 species
GGAUCAAAGAUGUGUACUUUAUAUUGCCUUCAGGAGUGGGAAAGACUUAAAUAUUAUGUACAAUGGCAUGACACUGAGGCCC